AGUGAACGCUGGCGGCGUGCUUAACACAUGCAAGUCGAACGAGAACGGAAUAUAGCUUGCUAUAUUUGUCAGCUAAGUGGCGCACGGGUGAGUAAUGUAUAGAUAACCUGCCCUUAAGAAAGGAAUAACAGUUGGAAACGACUGCUAAUGCCCUAUAUGCCUUUAAUACAUAAGUAUGCAAGGGAAACGCUUUAGUGCUUAAGGAUGGGUCUGUAUGGUAUCAGCUUGUUGGUGAGGUAAUGGCUCACCAAGGCCAUGACGCCUAACUGGUUUGAGAGGAUGAUCAGUCACACUGGAACUGAGACACGGUCCAGACUCCUACGGGAGGCAGCAGUGGGGAAUAUUGCACAAUGGACGAAAGUCUGAUGCAGCAACGCCGCGUGGAGGAUGACACAUUUCGGUGCGUAAACUCCUUUUAUAUAGGAAGAUAAUGACGGUACUAUAUGAAUAAGCACCGGCUAGCUCCGUGCCAGCAGCCGCCGUAA
rnacentral:rRNA from 1 species